rnacentral:rRNA from 1 species
GACGAACGCUGGCGGCGUGCCUAAUACAUGCAAGUAGAACGCAGUUGCGAACGGGUGAGUAACGCGUAGGUAACUGCCUGGUAGCGGGGGGUAACUAUUGGAAACGAUAGAUGAUACAGCAUACUACCAGAUGGACCUGCGUUGGAUUAGCUAGUUGGUGGGGUAACGGCUCACCAAGGCAACGAUACAUAGCCGACCUGAGAGGGUGGUCGGCCACACUGUGACUGGGGCACGGCCCAUACUCCUACCGGAGGCAGCAGUAGGGAAACAUCGGCAAUGGACGGAAGUCCGACCGAGCAACUCCGGGUGAGUGAAGAAGGUUUGCGGAUCGUAAAGAUCUGUUGUACGAGAAGCGGUAUCUUACCAGAAAGGGACGGCUAACUCCGUGCCAGCAGCCGCGGUAAUUC